GACGAACGCUGGCGGCGUGCCUAAUACAUGCAAGUCGAGCGAAGUUUUUCUGGUGCUUGCACUAGAAAAACUUAGCGGCGAACGGGUGAGUAACACGUAAAGAACCUGCCUCAUAGACUGGGACAACUAUUGGAAACGAUAGCUAAUACCGGAUAACAGUAUUUCUCGCAUGAGAGAUAUUUAAAAGUUGGUUAUGCUAACACUAUGAGAUGGCUUUGCGGUGCAUUAGCUAGUUGGUGGGGUAAAGGCCCACCAAGGCGACGAUGCAUAGCCGACCUGAGAGGGUGAUAGGCCACACUGGGACUGGAACACGGCCCAGACUCCUACGGGAGGCAGCAGGAGGGAAUCUUCCGCAAUGGGGGGAAGCCUGACGGAGCGACGCCGCGUGGGGGAAGGAGGAUUUCGGUUCGGAAAGCCCUGUUGUUAGGGAAGAAUGGAUAUGUAGUAACUAUACAUGUAAGAGACGGUACCUAACCAGAAAGCCACGGCUAACUACGUG
rnacentral:rRNA from 1 species